rnacentral:rRNA from 1 species
AUUGAACGCUGGCGGCAGGCCUAACACAUGCAAGUCGAACGAGGGGCAGACGGGUGAGAAAUGUCUGGGAAACUGCCUGGUGGAGGGGGAUAACUACUGGAAACGGUAGCUAAUCCCGCAUACCAUCAGAUGUGCCGAGCUGGGAUUAGCGAGUUGGUGGGGUAAGGGCUCACCAAGGCGACGAUCCCUAGCUGGUCUGAGAGGAUGACCAGCCACACUGGAACUGAGACACGGUCCAGACUCCUACGGGAGGCAGCAGUGGGGAAUAUUGGACAAUGGGCGCAAGCCUGAUGCAGCCAUGCCGCGUGUGUGAAGAAGGCCUUCGGGUUGUAAAGUACUUUCAGCGGGGAGGCGUUACCCGCAGAAGAAGCACCGGCUAACUCCGUGCCAGCAACCGCGGUAAUAC